CCGAGCGCAGCUCUGUCCGGCAGCGGUGCCGUCCCUGCUCCACCGGUACUCGGGCAAGGUUAAGGUUGCAACUUUGAUCACGUAGUUCGGUUGCCAUCGCUGACAACACUGAUCAAUCUCACCUGCUGAUGCUUUGCUAGAGUUAUGGGCCUACUACACUGCCGUGGAAACCAACCAACCGUCUGGUGAUGUGGGGCCUGAAACAGGUUGCAACCACUGCCACCAACCUUCCAGACAAGAGCCGCAUGCAGCUCUCACCACCCCUGAUGUUGUCCCUUAUUCACCACUACUCAAGCAAGGGGGGUUAAUUGCCACGGCUUCAUCAACCAAUCGAUCGCAAAGUGAUGCAGAAUCUGAAACAGG